rnacentral:misc_RNA from 1 species
AAAAAAAAAAAAAAAAACAGAGAAUUCAAUUACUCCACCAAAUACAAUUUUAUCUAUUCUAAUUCAGUUCAACCCCAAUGUCCUUGCACAGAAACACAACAUAUAGCUACAAAUAAUCGAUGAGCUCAAAUUUGAAAUUACCACAGUUAUGUAUAACUCAAAGCACAUCCAGUACAUAAACCAAAAAAAGCAACAGCCGCCAUGUUCUAAGGUCAGAGAACAGAAGCACAAGAGCUCAAUAUGUUAUUAAUGUAGAACCAGGAAAUUUAGGGACCAAAACAAGCAAAUUCUCUAUAACAAUGAGAAUCAUAAUCUAAAUUUGUUAUGUAAGUGACGAUGAGGCGACAUCAACUAACAAAAGUAUUACCAGAACCUAGAAACUCAAAACUUACACUGAUUACUCAUUAUACCAAGUUUCCCAAUUCAUACCUCAAAAAUAAGAAAUACAAUUCCAUUUACAAUUACAACUCUAAAAUACAUUCUGCUGUAUUAUUAACAAAGAACAGAGCCAAAGAAAUAAUGCAGGCAAAAUCUUGAAAGGUGUUGCAUCUAAAACACAUGAAAAAGAAUGGAACCAAUAUAUAGGAAGCAACACUUACCGUUACAGUUUCAACUGAGUAAUA